GGUGAAGGGCGCGCGCGCUCAGAGCGCAUUUGGAGACGUCGCUCGCCAGCUCCUUGGAAAGGGAGACGCAUUUGGGGACUCUGCGGAGCCCCUUCUUCCCCGCCGGGUGCCCAGGUCAGCCUGGCCGGAGGGCGCCUCCUCUCCUCCCCCCUUCCUUCCUCCGUCCCUCCCUCCGCCGGCCGAAGCGGAUCCGGUUCACGAGCUGGAGGUGGCUGGCUCCCGCCGGCCUCUCCGCGCAGCUCGGAUCCGCCUCCGGAGGCGCCCGCUCGCCUGGGCGCUUCGCAUCCCGAGGAGGAGAUGCUCGGCCCGGAGCUCCCAUAACCCACACUGGAGCCCAGGUGACGCGGCAGUACAGGACAGGGGGCAGGUAGUCAUUUAAUAAGGUGACGCUGGACGACAUCACGGUUUCCUUCUCCCCAGAAGAGUGGGCAGGGCUGCAGGACUGGCAGCGACGGCUCCACCGGGACGUCAUGCGAGAGAACUACGAAC